rnacentral:lncRNA from 1 species
ACUAAGCCUAACUUGGAUCACUUCCUUGGAAUUCCGCACCGCCUACACCGGAGCACUUACUAUCUACAAAGGUUUAGAAAAGAGUGUGUGAGUUUAAAAAAGCUCAGUGAAUGAUCAGGAAAAAAAAUACCAAUAAAUAAGAUAUAGUACAUUAAAUGAGAACAUCUAAAUAGGUAUUGAUAUUUCUUAAAAUAGGUAUCUAUACCGUUUGGAAAAUUGGUACAUUUUAACAUUCUGUUUUUCUUCAAAAUUUAUAACUUAGCAAUUUAUCGAUACAAUUCAAAACUAUCCAUAUUUUUACCCUGAGUAUCCAUACUUGAGAAAUGGUAUCAAUACCAAAAUGAACUAUUGUUUCACGCAAAUUGGUUUCAACUUAGAAGUAUCGAUACAUAUGCCUCGAUUACCAAAACCUUUGUAUAAUUCUACAAAAAUUCAAGCAAAACAGGGCAAUCCGCAUACUGAAUCACAUACCACUUCAACAUGCAUCCAUAACUUCAAUAUUCAACAUCAAAAUGUCCAUAUUUGAAGUCUAUAGCAAUAUGAAUAAUUUCAACCAAGCAAACCAAUAAACUAAUAACAACGUCCGCGAACCUAUGAGUAUUAAAAUCAAAAUAAUCACUUAAAACAUUAAGAUAAUAAUCAACCAACAAUUCAACCACAUUGUCUUAUUCCCAAAGUUCAAAAAUAAUAGUAAUGAUAUCACCUACUCAAAUACUAAGCCUAACUUGGAUCAGUUCACUGGAAUUCUGCACCGCCCACACCGGAAACACUAACUAUCUGCAAAGGUUUAGAAAAGAGUGUGUGAGCUUAAACAAGCUCAGUGAAUGAUCGAAAAAAAUUACUAAUAAACAUGAUAUCAUACAUUACAUGAGAACAACUAAAUGGGUAUUAAUAUUUCUGAAAAUAGGUAUUGAUACCAUUUGGAAAAUAAAUACCUUUUUAACAUUCAGUUUUAUUUCAAAAUUAUUGAUACAAUUCAAAAUUAUCUAAAUUUUUAACCUGAGUAUCGAUACUCGAGAAUUGGUAUCAAUACCAAAAUAAGCAACUGUUUCCUACACAUUUAUUCCAACUCAGAAGUAUCGAUACAUAUGCCUUGUUUAUCGAUAGCUCUAUAUAAUUCUACAAAAAUUUAAGCAAAACAGGGCAUUCCACCGACUCAAUCAUACACCACUUCAAAAUGCAUCCAUAACUUCAAUAAUCAACAUCAAAAUUUCCAUAUUUGCAAUCCAUAUCAAUAUUAAUAAUUUCAACCAAGCAAAACAAUAAACUAAUAACAACCUCUAGGAACUUAAGAGUAAUAUCAAAAUAAUCAUUUAAAACAUCAUAACAAUAAUCAACCAACAAAUCUACCAUAUUGUCUUAUUCCUCCAGUUCAAAAAUAAUAGCAAUAAAAUCACCUACUCAAACACUAAGCCUAACUUGGAUCACUUCCUUGGAAUUCCUCACCGCCCACACCGGAAACACUAACUAUCUGCAAAUGUUCAAAAAAGAGUUUGUGAGCUUAAACAAGCUCGGUGAAUGAUCGGGAAAAAACUACCGAUAAACAUAAUAUCAUACAUUAAAUAAGAACAUCUAAAUGGGAAUCGAUAUUUUCCAAAAUGGGUAUCAAUGCAGUUUCAAAAAUCGAAACCUUUUUAACAUUCUAAUCUUCUUCAAAAUCCAAAACCCAACAAUUUAUCGAUACAAUUCAAAAGUAUGUAUAUUUUUACCCCGAGUAGCGAUACUCGAGAACUGGUAUUAAUACCAAAAUGAGCUACUAUUUCCUGCACAUUCAUUUUAACUCAAAAGUAUCAAUACAUAUGACGUGAUUAUCAAUACCUUUGUAUAAUUAUGCAAAAAUUCCAGCAAAACAUGGAAUUCCACAAACUCAAUCACAUACCACUUCAAUAUGCAUCCAUAACUUCAAUAUUCAACAUCAAAAUGUCUAUAUUUGCAGUCCAUAGCAAUAUCAAAAAUUUCAACCAAGCAAACCAAUGAACUAAUAACAACGUCCAUGAACCUAAGAGUAUUAAAAUCAAAAUAAUUAUUUAAAACAUCAAGAUAAUAACCAACCAAAAAUUCUACCACAUUGUCUCAUUCCCACAGUUAAAAAAUAAUAGCAAUAAUAUAACCUACUCAAACACAAAGCCUAACUUGGACCACUUCCUUGGAAUUUCACACUGCCCAUACUGGAAACACUAACUAUAUGCAAAGGUUUAGAAAAGAGCGUGUAAGCUUUAAACAAGCUCAGUGAAUGAUCGAGAAAAAACUACCAAUAAACAUGAUAUCAUACAUUACUUGAGAAUAUCUAAAUGGUAUCAAUAUUUCUCAAAAUAGGUAUCGAUACAGUUUGGAAAAUCGAUACCUUUUUAAAUUUUUUCUUUUAUUCAAAAUCCAAACCCGACAAUUUAUCUAUACAAUUCAAAAUUAUCUAUAUUUUUACCCGAAGUAUCGAUACUCGAGAAUUGGUAUCGAUACAACAAAGAGCUAUUGUUUCUUGCACAAUUGUUUCAACUCAAAAGUAUCAAUAUGUAUGCCCUGAUUAUCAAUACCUCUAUAUAAUUCUACAAAAAUUCCAGCAAAACAUGGCAUUCCACAUACUCAAUCACGUAAAACUUCAACAUGCAUCCAUAACUUCAAUAUUCAAUAUCAAAAUGGCUAUAUUUGAAGUCCAUGGCAAUACCAAAAAUUUCAACCAAGCAAACCAAUAAACUAAUAACAACAUGUAACACCCUUAACCCGUAUCCGUCGCCGAAUUAGGGUUACGAGGUAUCACCGUUCAAAGCACAAGUCCAAACAUUUACAUGAGUUGUAACACCCUAAUUUUCGGGAAUUCUGUGAAUGUUGGCAUAGGUUUAAUUAUGUUAGUGGGCCUCUAGAAGGCCCAAGCUUAAGAUAGAACCCAGCAAUUUUAGUUAAUUUUUGUUCCAUAAGAAAAAUGGGGUGAAAUUAUGAAAUAGAACCUAUGUAAAAAUGUUUGAAAAUGCUAUAGGCUAAAUUGAAGUGGCCAAAUAAAUAGGAGUGCAAAGUAGGAGGAUUUGCAUGACAAACCUUCCAUUUUACAUGAAGUGGCCAGCCAUCAUGUUGUUGUAGACAAUAUGAGCACUUGAUAUCCGUAAUUCAUGGUACAAACUGAUAAUGGGUUAGGUAAAUGUUCCAUGAUAAUGGAUUAGGUAAAUAUUCCAUGAUAGUGGGUUAGGUAAAUGUUCCAUGAUAAUGGUUUAGGUAAAUGUUCCAUGAUGGGCAUUUCAUGUCUUUUGUAUUAAAGAAUUAAAUGGAUGAAAUAUGAAAUUUUAUUAAAAGAAAAAGGGGUGAAAAGAACAAAGUUUUGUCCAUCUUUGUUCAUCAUAGCCGAAAGUUAGAGAAGAGAAAGGAGAGGAGAAAGCUCUUGAAUGUUCGGUCACUUGGGGAAGAAAUUUGAACGUAAGUUCAUGGUAGUUUGCUUCUAUCUUGAUGUUCAUGAGUUCUUCUUGAUUCUACCUUAACUCUUGAAGCAUAUUUUGGUUUUUAGUUGUGUUGUGAGCAUUUAGUCAUGAAUUAAAAUAAAGGAAAUGGUUGUUGUUUCAUGUUCUUUUGAUGAAAACUGGAAGACAGGUGAAGUUGAGCCAAACAAAUGAGCAUGCAUGUGCCUUAGAUGCUAAGGGGAAAAAUCGGCUAACAUGUUGUGCUUUAAAAUGAUGAAAUGGAGAUUAUACUUAAGUAAAAUCAUAGAUAUGUGAUGAUUGAUUGGUGAUAUACAUGUUUAAAUAACAUGCAUGCAAGGUAUGUGUGAAAGAGUGAUUUGGUAAUAAAUCUGCUUGGGACAGUAGCAGUAACGUGACUUUGCAAAAUCACCAUAAAUUGUGGGAGAUGAAUUAGAAUCUGAAUAAAUUAUGUAAUUAAAGCUUAUUGAGUCUAGUUUCAAAUGAAAUAAACAAGAACAUAUUUUAAAUUCUGUACAAUGAGAAAUUUGAUUCGUAAUGAAGAGUGGUCAGAUUAGUCAAACAGUAAAACAUGGGAAACUUUAAGAAAAAUCUGGUAUUGAUUGGCCAUACCAAAAGUUCUGAAAAUUUUAUGGAUAGAAGAUAUAUGAGUCUAUUUUCAGGGAAAAUUAACAGAACUUGAUUUGGAGUUUCGUAGCUCCAGUUAUAAAUGAUUUAGAGACUAUUGCUCAGGAAGACAGCUUGCAGUGAAAUUUUGAUUAUGUGGUAAACAUUGACAAAAAAAUUGUUAAUGAGUUGCUUAUUGAUUUCUUAUAAGCUUACUAUAAUCUGUAGGUGUGGUUGGCCGAAUAUUGUAAGGGGUUAAUACGUAGUUCGUAUUUGAAUAGUUAGAUUAACGUGUUAGUAAUCCAAUUGUAGGCAGUUCGUGUGUGGAUCUCGUCAGCAUAUCGUCGCAAACAGGUGUGUAACUGACACCCUCUCAUAGAUUAGAUUGGCAAAAGCCGAAAAGCCAAAAUGCCGAAAAGUCGAUAUUUUAGGAAUUUGCGAGUGUGUGAAUACUCGUAAGAUAGUUGGAUUUGUAUAUUUGGUAAUCUAAAGUAACAAACUGUAGUACGCGCGAUUUCGUACAUUUUGAUAAUUUGGGCUUAAUGGGCCAAAGAUCGGGUUCAUGGGCCAACGGGCCCCAAUUCGGUAAGCAUGCGCGGUAAGUGUUUUGAUAGUACGUACAUAGUUAGGGUAUGCAUGAAAACCCUAAAAGUAGCUAAAUUACUAUAAUACCCCUAUGUAUGGAAAAUUACUGUUAUACCCCUAGGUGCAAAAUUACCAUUAUACCCCUAGGGUUACUUUUGACUGAAAAGCAUGACGAUCUGAUUUUGUAUGAUGUAUGCCAUGAUUAUAUAUCUGUUGCAUGGGGACUUGGGUUAUACUAUGGAGGAAGCGUCCUGGUGGCUAUGCCACAAUUAUCUGAUCUGGUGGCUCUGCCACAUAUAUCUGUUCUAGUGGCUCUGCCACAAUAUCUGUAUCUGGUGACUCCGUUACAAAUCUGGCAGCCUCGCUGCGAUUUCUGUGGUGUGUAGUGGUUGGGUGGGUCGAGUAGUCACCCCACAUGGUGUAAGGCUGGUACGGGGGUGUUAUGGAUGAAUCUGGGUUGGGUUUCUGCAUAAACAUGUAAUAUCUGUUCUGUUCUGUUAUGGGCCUAUGGGCUUCAUUCUGAAAUCUGUUCUGGGCUAAGGCCAACUUAUUCUGUUUCUGUGGUUUGAGCUGAUAUAGGCUAUGGUUGGGUUAAUUUACAUACUGAGUUCCCCCAAACUCACCCUUUUUAUUUUCAUCCAUGCAGGUAAUCCCCAACCAUAGUGGGCUUGGAGCUGUGAGGGAAUUCAGAGUGGCCACCCGUUCUAAAAGUUUGAUUUUCUUCUAGUGAACUGGAUAUCCUUUUAUUUACAUUUGAGGUUUUGGGUUUUUUUUAAAUGUAAUAAGGCCGCUUAAUUAUUCUUGAUGGUUUUAAUAUGUGUUACUAAGAUAAGUAUUACUUAUUUUAACUGUUGAAGUUGGAACGCUUUAGGGCGCGUUUUCAAAAACAAUAAUUGAUUUCAAAAUACCACGACAACAAGCAAAGCUUCCGAAAUGAAAGUAUUUUCCAAAAUUAAUCACUUUUCCUAAAAAGGACUUAAUCAAAUCGGUUUCUUAGAAAUAUACAUGACGUUAAGGUGUGGCAAUGGCGAUAUGCAUGUCUAGGAUUGGAUCCGAAGGGAGCUUGGUACUUAAGCAGUCCGAUGGACUCACCUCCUCUUUUCCGAUUUCCUACCUGGUGCACAGCUUCCAUUCACUUUAACCUAUAAUGAAAUUAUCUUUUAAAACACGAAGUAAGUUUUUCUGGAUCAACAAUAUAAAAUGUUUUGAAUGCUUCGAUGUGGCAUGUCAGAUCUGGCCAUAACGUCUGGGCUGAGUUUGGGGUGUUACAUGAGUACACUUAUAUAAACUUUUAAGAAUAAUUAUUUAACAUCAAUAGUUGUAGCAAUUACUAAUAAAACAUAAUAUAAUAUACUUUUAGUUCAUACUUAUAAAAAUAUGCAGACAUUCAAACUUUAUUACACUUUAAUCGCACAUUUAUUAUCUAUACACAAAUGAAAUAUGUGAAAUCUAUUACAUAUCAUAUGUAUAUAUAGCCACAUUACUCACAAGAAGCAAAAAUAAAAUAUAAUAUAUAUCAAUGUAUCCAUACGCAAACUUACACAAGUUUAGCAAAUUCAUGUAGUCACAUACAUGGGUAUAUAGCAUCCAUUAAUAUGAACACCUUUAUAUACGUAUAAGGCAUAUAAAAACUUAGCUAAAAUAAAUGGACUCAAUAUAAUAAACGCAUGUCUUAACUUAGUCCAUAAAUAACACCAAAUUUGUAUCAUGCAUAUGUCUUUCUUUUUACCUAAUUUCUUGAUUUACCAAAACUCAAUAAUAUUCAUCAUGAAUCAUACGACCGAAUAUAUGUAUUUAACCUCAUCACAAAUGAUUUGAAUUAUGGUUACACUCUCAAUAUAGGCUCAUUACAAAACCAACUAUUUAUAUGUAACCUAAUCAACAUUUAUAUAUGCAUAGUGCGCAUUUAACCUAAUGCCAAGGCUACACUUAACAAUUGAGCAUUAAAUACAUACUAAGCAGUCAACUAGAUUAUUCAUGAUUCACAUGCAUUGUUUAUCAUUUAACAACCCAACUAGUUAGACUAGAAUAUAAUCACUCACCACUUAAAAUAUGCCGCAUUUCAUUUUACCCAUCACAACUAAUUAACAUACCAAAUACUUGUUAUGCCGUUACUUUUUCAUAGCCGAAUCUAGCUACAUAGAAAUAUAUAUGAAUCCAAAACUUCCAUCAUCAAUUACCAAUGGACAAGCUCACUAAAUAUUUUGACUAAGAACUCACCAGGACAUAAUAAGCAAGUCAUUUUCGUAACAUUUAAUAUUUAUCACAUAUUUUAUGCAUUCAUGGCACACAACUUAAUAACCAAAAUUAAUAUGAGCCUUACAACGUAACCGAAUUCUAAUAUAAUAAUUUAGCCAUUUUUGCAUGGCUUAGAUUACACAUAACUAAAAAUCCAACUUUACAAAACAUAUUCCAGCCUAUACAUGCCAUAAUUCAAGUUCGAAUAUUUAAGUAUCGAAGUUGUAGAUAGUGUGAUAGACUUUGCUGACAAUCCCCGAGCUUGUAACUUGAAUCCAAAAUCUAUAAAAUAAGAUACACAUAAAAACACAGAGUAAGCUUUUGAAGCUUAGUAAGUUAUAAGCAAUUUAGCUUCCCAAUAAAAUUAUCAACUUAUUCAAAUCAAACUAAAUUAUAAAAUCAUAACCUUUCAGAUCCAAAUAUUUAUAAUUCAUUAUAAAUAUAUAUUUUCACACUCAAAUGUCACACUGGCCUAACAUUCAUGAAUUAUUGUAACUAAUUAAUUCAUUAUAAAUAUAUAUUUAUCACUAUUAUCAUUUAUUUCCCACAACUAAUUAAUUAUUGUAACUUACUUCACAUAUCCAGAAGCAUAUAGACUCAUGUGUAGUUGCAUUGUUUCAUAUAUAUAUGCUAAUUAUGAAGUCGAACACUUAUAGUCAUGCAUGUCUAAUACUAAGUUUCAUUUCAAUAAUAAUUACAAGGCCGAUUACACUUGAAUACUUAAACCCCUGUAUCAAUAUAUACUUAAACCCCUGUAUCAAUAUAAUUCAUCAUAUUCAUAUAUUAGAUAUGUAACCGACAUAUAUGCACAUGAUUAAAGAUUAUUCAUGAUACAUAAGCUACUGACUCACAAAGUCUACUACACAUAUCACAUUCGCAUAUAUCCUUUAUUUGCACCAUUUCAAGGUUUGCAAAAAUAACAAGGUACUUACUUGCUUUACCUUAAAUAGAUAAUGAGUUAAUUCAUACUUGGCAUAUGGCUCAUUUUACACAUUCAAACUCAAUUUACCUUUGCCCGAUGAACCAUUCAGAAUUGGAUAGGACACUCGGAUAAUCUCACAAAUCAUACAAUGCUAACGUCCCAAACAUGGUCUUACAUGUAGUCACAUAUCGAUGCCACUGUCCCAGAUAGGUUCUUACUCGUAAACACAUAUCAAAAUCACAUAUCGAUGCCAACGUAUGAAACGUGGACUUACUCACACGCAUAUAUCAGAAUCACAUAUUGAUGCCAACGUAUUAAACGUGGACUUACUCGCACAAGUAUAUCGGAAUCACAUAUUGAUGCCAACGUAUUAAACGUGGUCUUACUCGCACACAUAUAUCGAUGCCACAUAUCGAUGCCACAUAUUCUUCCAGGUAUCAACUUUAAAAAUCGGCCAAAUUAUGCAUAAGUUCAUUAACAAAAUUAUCAUUCAUAAUCAAAGUCACAUUAUCAUUAAAUAUUCAAUUAUAUAUAUACAAUUAACCAUGAUUCACAUUUUAAUAUCACAUACAUAUUUCAUUUAGCCGAAUACAGACUUGUAAUUAAUAUACAAUUAAUCUACAUUUUAACAUAUAUAAUUCAUGUCAUCACUUCAAAUACUAAAUUUAUUCAUUACUUAUCAUCAAACAUAGAUUAUUUUCAUUUUCAAUAUCGAUUCAUAAUUUAAUUUUAAUCAAUAUAACUACCAAUUAAUCACAUAUAUUGAAAUUUAACAUAUUCUAUUUACUUAUAAACUUACCUCGAAUGACAUAAAACGGAACGGGACAGCUAGUCGACGACUUUCAUUUUCCCCUGAUCCAAAUCUGAUUUCUUUGGUUCUUGAUCUAAACAUAUUCAGAUUAAGCUCGUUCAAAUAUAUUUUCAUUCAAUUUAGUCCAAAGACAUAUAAAUGGGCAAAUUACCAUUUUACCCCUACUUUUUACAAUUUAGUCCCUAUUGUACAAAACACAAAAUAUGCAAAAUUUCAAUAUACCCAUGUUUGGCCGAAUAUUCCUAGUAUUCAUACAAGUCCAUAUAUUUCAUUUAUUUCACAUUUUAGUCCCUCAAAUUAUUAUUUUUGUAAUUUAGUCCUAAUUACUCAAAAUCAUCAAAAACUCCAAUACAAAAUAUGUUAAUCUAAAACAUAUCUUUUAUAUUUCAUCAUUAAACAACAAAAAUCACAAGCUUUCAACAAUGGCAUAACUCAAAAUAUUCACCAAAAUAAAAAAUUCAAGAAUGGGUUUUGUAGUACUCAAAGCAACGAUCUCAAAAACGUAGAAAUUAUCAAAAACAAAGCUAAACACACACCUCAAUCAAGCUUGUUUAUGGCUGAACUAGGUUUUCCUUUCUUUUUUUUCUUUCUUAUUUUUGGUUUCGGUCAAAAGAAUAAGAUGAGCAUGGCUUAUUAUUAUUUUAUGAUAUAUAUAUUAUAACAGAUAUUAAUUUAAUGUUUAAUUACUUAUAUAAUAUAAAACAAUGUAAUUUAUGUCUUAUGCCGUCCCACUAAUAUAUUAAUGGGAUAUUUACAACAUAAAUGCCCCAACUUAGAAAGCCACUAACAAUUUGGCCCUUAUGUUUUAAACUAUCAAGUUUUCAAUUUACGCGAUUAAGUCCUUUUAUUUAAUCGGAUACCUAACCGACAAAAUUAAAUCACUAAAAUUUCACAGAUAUAAAUUCACACAAAAUAAACACAGAAAAUAAUUUUUAAAUAUUUUUCUGACUCAGAUUCAUGGUCUCGAAACCACCGUUCUGAUUAGGGUCUAAAUUGGGCUGUUACACAACAUCCAUGAACCUAAGAGUAUUAAAAUCAAAAUAAUCAUUUAAAACAUCAUGAUAAUAAUCAACCAACAAUUCUACCACAUUGUCAUAUUCGCACAAUUCAAAAAUAAUAACAAUAAUAUAACCUUCUCAAACACUAAGCCCAACUAGGAUCACUUUCUUGGAAUUCCGCACCGCCCACACCGGAAACACUAACUAUCUGCAAAGGUUCAGAAAAGAGUGUGUGAGCUUAAACAAGCUCAGUGAAUGAUAAAGAAAAAACUAACAAUAAACAUGAUAUCAUACAUUAAAUGAGAACAUCUAAUUGGGUAUCAAUAUUUCUCAAAAUGGGGAUCGAUACCGUUUGGAAAAUCAGAACCUUUUUAACAUUCUAAUCUUCUUCAAAAUCCAAAACCCAACAAUUUAUCAAUACAAUUCAAAAGUAUCUAUAUUUUUACCUCGAGUGUUGAUACUCGAGAACUGGUAUCAAUACCAAAAUGAGCAACUGUUUCCUACACAUUUGUUUCAACUCAGAAGUAUCGAUACAUAUGCCCUGAUUAUCGAUACCUCUGCAUAAUUCUACAAAAAUUCAAGCAAAAUAGGGCAUUCUACAUACUUAAUCACAUACCACUUCAACAUGCAUCCAUAACUUCAAUAUUAAACAUCAAAAUGUCCAUAUUCUCAGUCCAUAGCAAUAUAAAUAAUUUUAACCAACCAAACCAAUAAACUAAUAACAACGUCUAGGAACCUAAGAGUAUUAAAAUCAAAAUUAUCAUUUAAAUUAUCAUGAUAAUAAUCAACCAAGAAUUUUACCACAUUGUCUUAUUCCUACAGUUCAAAAAUAAUAACAAUAAAAUCACAUACUUAAACACUAAGCCUAACUUGGAUCACUUCCUUGGAAUUUUGCACCGCCCACACUAAAAACACUAACUAUCUGCAAAGGUUCAAAAAAGAGUGUGUGAGCUUAAACAAGCUUAGUGAAUGAUCAGGAAAAAACUACCAAUAAACAUGAUAUCAUACAUUAUAUGAGAACAUCUAAAUGGAAAUCGACAUUUCUCAAAAUGGGUAUCGAUACCGUUUGGAAAACUGGAACCUUUUUACCAUUCUGAUCUUCUUCAAAAUCCAAAACCUAACAAUUUAUCGAUGCAAUUCAAAAGUAUUUAUAUUUUUACCCUAAGUAUCGAUACUCGAGAACUGAUAUCGAUAGAAAAAUGAGCAACUAUUUCUUGCACAUACGUUUCAAUUCAGAAGUAUUGAUACAUAUGCCCUGAUUACUGAUACCUCCGUAUAAUUCUGCAAAAAUUCCAGAAAAAUAGGGCACUCCACAUACUCAAUCACAUACCACGUCAAUAUCAAUAAUUUCAAUAUUAAACAUCAAAAUGUCCAUAUUAGAAUUCCAUAGCAAUAUCAAUAAUUUCAACCAAGCAAACCAAUAAACUAAUAACAACCUCCACGAACCUAAGAGUAUUAAAAUCAAAAUAAUCAUUUAAAAAAUCAUGCUAAUAACCAACAGACAAUUCUACCACAUUGUCUUAUUCCUACUGUAGCACCCCAAACCUGGCCCAGAAGUUAUGGCCGGAUCCGGCAUGCCACAUCAAAAACAUAAAAAAAAAUUUCCAUUCUAAGUCCAGAAAAUCGUACUUGAUGUUCAAAAGAUUAAUUCAUUAAAGGUUAAAGUGAAUGGAAGCUGUGCACCAGGUAGGAAACCGAAAAAGAGGUGGUGAGUCCAUCGGACUGCUUAAGUACCAAGCUCCCUUCGGAUCCAAUCCUAGACAUGCAUACCGCCAUUACCACACCUUAACGUCAUGGAUAUUUCUAGGAAACCGAUUUGAUUAAGUCAUUUUUAGGAAAAGUGAUUAAUUUUGGAAAAUACUUUCAUUGCGGAAGCUUUACUUGUUGUCGUGUUAUUUUGAAAUCAAUUGUUGUUUUUGAAAACGCGCCCUAAAGCUAUCUAAUUUCAACAGUUAAAAUAAGUAUUACCUAUUUUAGUAAUACAUAUUAAAACCAUCAAAAAUAAUUAAGCGGCCUUAUUACAUUUAAAAGCCCAAAAACUUCAAACGUAAAUAAAAGGAUGUCCAGUUCACCAGAAGAAAAUCAAACUUUCAGAACGGGUGGCCACUCCGAAUUCCCUCACAGCUCCAAGCCCACUAUGGUUGGGGAUUUC